GUUGGGGUGCAAAGUGUUGCGUUGCAAGUGUAACUGCCAAUGCAACUUGCAAAUUAGAGAUCGGAUCAACGGUAAAAUUCAAUUUCUUAUUCUCUCCGAAACAUUGCAAUUCAACAAAUUCUGAUUCACCCCUUCACAUUCAAUUGUUUCAAACCGUACAUUCUUUGCUUCAGUUCUGCAAUUCUUUUUUCCAAUGUCAGUGGCUUAACUCUCUGCCACCAAAAUUUGAGUCAAAUUUUUUUCCUUUUUAGUACCAAAUUUCCUUCCCACAUUUUUAGACCAAGUGGGGUGUUAGAAUGAGCACCGAAAGUGCUGAACAUGAUGAUGCAAGUGCUGAUCUUGAAGGUGCUGUUUCAUCAUCUAGUGGGAAUGUGAUGGGGGAUCUGGAUGCAAUGAUCACAAGCCUGGGUAUGGGCUUGGAUUGUUUCUCUGAGAAAGUUUUCAACUUGAGAAUUUUUGUGAUGCAUGUGGAAACCAUGGAGAAUGAGUUUGAGGCCUUGGUUUUGGAGAAGGGGGAUCAUCACAUGGGGGUUGGUUGGUUGGAAAAGGGUCUGGAGUUUGAUCUGUUGUCUGUGGUGUUGGAUUCAGAGGUGAGAGAGUUGGGGGGAGUAUUUGACAUUCUUCAAGGUGGUGUUGGUGAAGUUAGAGAGUGUGUGUGUUCUUGCACUCAUUUGGGAGAGGCAUUUGUGGCAAUGCAAGACAGGUUGUUUGAUUAUGAACAGAAGUUGAAGCUGUCUGAAGAGGAGCUUAAUGACAUUAAGAUGCAAUCAGCCAGUUUCCAGAGGGCUUUGUGUUCUUAUAAGAAGGCACAAAAUGGUGAAAUCAUCAUAGAGGAUGAUAAAUCUUUGAAUGCAAAUGCAGAGAUAAAAAUGCAAACAGUUGAGCAACAAAGACAUAUUCUGAGAAUGCUAGAGAAAUCUUUGGCAAGAGAAAUGGAUCUUGAGAAGAAUAUGAAUGAUUCCAUAGAAAUUCAAGAAAAUCUAAAACUAAAGAUAUUCUUUUUAGAGCAAGGGCUUGUUAACAUGGAGGAAGAAGCAAUUGAGGUUUGGGAACAAUGGCUUGAGGCUGACAAUGCAUGUGAGAUUCUGUUGGGAAUUUCAAAAGGCCUGCUAGGUAAUCUCCACAUUUCUCAGUUCAAUUUGAAUUGCCUAAGUCAUCGCGAAUCUGAGCUUCGAGCUAGUCUGAAAGAUGCUGAAGAUAAAGUAAUCCUUUCCAAUUCUGAGGUCUUCGCUUUACAUGACAAGGUGUCUUCACUUGAGAACCAGCUAAAAGAAUCUGAAUUUCGGAUACUGAAUGCAAAGGCCUCUGCUGAUGAAUAUCAGAAGCAGUAUAAUGUUGCAUGUUCUAAAGCAAGAGACAUGGAGAGUAUUAUUGUUGAACUGAAAGAAGCUGUAUCUAAUGCAGAAAGUAGGGCCAAUAGUGCAGAAACUAAGUGUAAUUCAUUGACACAGACUAAUUCAAAACUCAAUGAGGAGCUGGCUACUUUGAAAGGCCGUGGAGGCACAUCAGCAAAAGUAGAUUUGCUAGAGAAGCAGUUGAAAGAAUCUAAUCGGCGAUUGCAGAGUGCAGUAGCAUCUGCUAAAGCUAGUCAGGAGAAACAAAAUACCUUGUAUUCAACAAUUAGAGAUAUGGAAAAUGUGAUAAAGGAUCUUAAGUCAAAGGUUUUGAAAGCUGAGAGUAGGGCUGACAGUGCAGAGGACAAUUGUAUCAUAUUGUCUGAAUCUAACGCGGAGUUGAAUGAGGAACUCAGCCUUUUGCGGAGUAGAUUGGAAAGCCUGGAGGGUUCCCUUCACCGGGAGGAGGAAGUGAAAAUGACUACUGCAAAGGACCUAGGAAAGCAAGCCAAAGGUUUCAAAAAAUUGUUAACACAGCUGGCUUUUGAGAGAGAGCGUCUUAAGCAGCAGAUAUCUUCCCUAGCAAGUGAGAACAAAAUUUUGGUGGUGAAACUAAACAAAACAUGUUAAAGAACCUUCUUAAGAAGCUAGUGAGACUGCAGUCACUGGCGACGAGGGACUUCAAAAUACAAGUUAUCUGCAAUAUAUGAAGUCAAACCCACAGAUUCUGUGCGAGAAGUUAAUUAGCAGUAUGAGGAGAACAGUCUAUGUGGAUGUUUGGUUCCACGUCCAGAGCUCUAGACUCGCAUAAAAAAACGUGAAAACAGGAAGCUGCUACGAGUAGCUUUUGCCUUCAACGUGAAAAGUGAAAAGUAAACGUGACACCACUCCAAACACAAGCUAUGUAUAAAUAGUUAACAUGAGAAUUUUAAUUAAUUUAUUUAUAGGUGUUUCUUAAUUCUUAGUAAGACAAGAGUUUUGUUGUUGUUGUAGAAUUUUUUUUUAUAGGUGCCUAAUUUAAAGCAUAUUGGAGUUGAUCAAAUUUUGUGGAAAGUCUUGAACUCUAUGGGACCAAAUGAUCCAAAAUUUAUGAUGCUUUCUAGUAGUAGUAGAUAGAACAUGGGGUCCAUUCUUUACUAACAAGUGAGUGUUGUGAAAAAUGAAUUGAUAUCACAAUUUUGUAUUUAA